UACGAAGGGUGCAAGCGUUGUUCGGCCUUAUUGGGCGUAAAGCGCGUGUAGGCGGCUUUGCAAGUCGGGUGUGAAAGCCCUCAGCUCAACUGAGGAAGUGCGCCCGAAACUGCAGAGCUUGAGUGCCGGAGAGGGUGGCGGAAUUCCCCAAGUAGAGGUGAAAUUCGUAGAUAUGGGGAGGAACAACGGUGGCGAAGGCGGCCACCUGGACGGUAACUGACGCUGAGACGCGAAAGCGUGGGGAGCAAACAGG
rnacentral:rRNA from 1 species